rnacentral:rRNA from 1 species
UACGAAGGGGGCUGGCGUUGCUCGGAAUUACUGGGCGUAAAGCGCACGUAGGCGGCUUUCUAAGUCGGGGGUGAAAUCCUGGAGCUCAACUCCAGAACUGCCUUCGAUACUGGAGAGCUUGAGUCCGGGAGAGGUGAGUGGAACUGCGAGUGUAGAGGUGAAAUUCGUAGAUAUUCGCAAGAACACCAGUGGCGAAGGCGGCUCACUGGCCCGGUACUGACGCUGAGGUGCGAAAGCGUGGGGAGCAAACAGG